GCCCGAGUGGUGGAAUGGUAUACACGCACGACUUAAAAUCGUGUCUCGUAAGGGAUGUGGGUUCGACCCCCACCUCGGGCA
rnacentral:tRNA from 2 species